rnacentral:rRNA from 1 species
AGUUUGAUCCUGGCCCAGAUUAACGCUGGCGGGAUGCUACACAAGUCAGAACGGCAGCACGGACUUCGGUCUGUGGCGAGUGGCGAACGGGUGAGUAAUGUAUCGGAACGUGCCUAGUAGCGGGGAUAUCCACGCGAAAUGCCGCAUAAUACCGCACGUUCCUUCGGGGGAAAGUGGGGACCUUCGUACCUCGCACUAUUAGAAUGCAAUUGUCGGAUUAGCUAGUUGGUGGGGGUAACGCCUCGCUCAAGGCGACGAUCCGUAGCUGGUUUGAGAGGACGACCAGCCACACUGGGACUGGAGAUUGACGGGCUCAGACUCCUACGGGAGGCAGCAGUGGGACUCUUGACAAUGGGGGAAACCCCUGAUCCAGCCAUCCCGCGUGUGCAUUGGAAGGCCUCGGGUUGUAAAGCACUUAAGCAGAAUAACUGUUGUCAGAUACACUUCAGAACGAUGGUACCUAAGAAUAAGCACCGGCCAACUACGCGCCACAGCCGCGGCAAUACGCAGGGUGCAAGCGCGUGUUAAUCGGAAUUACUGGGCGUAAAGGGCGGCGGCGGUUCGGAAAGAAAGAUGUGAAAUCCAGAGCUUAACUUUGGAACUACAUUUUUAACUACCGAGCUAGAGUGUGUCAGAGGGAGGUGGAAUUCGCGUGUAGCAGCAAAGCGCGGAUGCGGAGGAACACCGAUGGCGAAGGCAGCCCCCCUGGGAUAACACUGACGCUCACAUCGAGCGUGGGGAGCAAACACAGGAUUAGAUACCCUGGUGGUCCACGCCCCAAACGAUGUCAACUAGCUGUUGGGGCCUUCGGGCCUUGGUACGCAGUGGUGAAGUUGACCGCCUGGGGAGUACGGUCGGAUUAAACUCAAAGGAAUUGACGGGGACCCGCACAAGCGGUGGAUGAUGUGAUUAAUCUGAUGCAACGCGAAAAACCUACCUACCUCGUGACAUGUUCAACCUAAACAGAUUUGGGCGUUCGCAAGAGAACCGGAACACAGGUGCUGCAUGGCUGUCGUCAGCUCGUGUCGUAGAGAUGUUGGGUUAAGUCCCGCAACGAGCGCAACCUCGUUACCAGUUGCCACGAAAGGGCACUCUAUAUCGACUGCCGGUGACAAACCGGAGGGAAGGUGGGGAUGACGUCAGUCCUCAUGGCCCUUAUGGGUAGGGCUUCACACGUCAUACAAUGGUCGGGACAGAGGGUCGCCAACCCGCGAGGAGCCAAUCCCAGAAACCCGAUCAGUCCGGAUUCGCAGUCUGCAACUCGACUGCGUGAAGUCGGAAUCGCUAGUAAUCGCGGAUCAGCAUGUCGCGGUGAAGACACCCCGGUCUUGUACACACCGCCCGUCACACCAUGGGAGUGGGUUUUACCAGAAGUAGUUGUACUCAACCGUAAGGAGGGCGAUUACCACUGCAGAUUCGCUGACUGGGGUGAAGUCAAACAAGGUAG